AUUGAACGCUGGCGGCAGGCUUAACACAUGCAAGUCGAGCGGAGAUGAGGUGCUUGCACCUUAUCUUAGCGGCGGACGGGUGAGUAAUGCUUAGGAAUCUGCCUAUUAGUGGGGGACAACAUUCCGAAAGGGAUGCUAAUACCGCAUACGUCCUACGGGAGAAAGCAGGGGAUCUUCGGACCUUGCGCUAAUAGAUGAGCCUAAGUCGGAUUAGCUAGUUGGUGGGGUAAAGGCCUACCAAGGCGACGAUCUGUAGCGGGUCUGAGAGGAUGAUCCGCCACACUGGGACUGAGACACGGCCCAGACUCCUACGGGAGGCAGCAGUGGGGAAUAUUGGACAAUGGGGGGAACCCUGAUCCAGCCAUGCCGCGUGUGUGAAGAAGGCCUUAUGGUUGUAAAGCACUUUAAGCGAGGAGGAGGCUACUGAGACUAAUACUCUUGGAUAGUGGACGUUACCCGCAGAAUAAGCACCGGCUAACUCUGUGCCAGCCGCCGCCGUAAGAC
rnacentral:rRNA from 1 species